rnacentral:rRNA from 1 species
UCGGAUUGCAGCCUGCAACUCGGCUGCAUGAAGCUGGAAUCGCUAGUAAUCGCGGAUCAGAAUGCCGCGGUGAAUACGUCCCCGGGUCUUGUACACACCGCCCGUCACACCAUGGGAGUCGGGAAUGCCCGAAGUCAGUGACCCAACCGAAAGGGGGGAGCUGCCGAAGGCAGGCCUGGUAACUGGGGUGAAGUCGUAACAAGGUACC